GAACUUUCUGUUCCCUACCCCUUCAAUCUACGACACUCAUUAGGGCCCUUGCCUUAGCCAACUGUCCAUUUAGCUCCUGGACAGGACAAAGAGAUUGGCUGUGAAGUACAUCAAUAACCAUGCAGUCUGCACUUGUUCUGUUAAAUUUAGCACACCGAGAAGAUUCUGUGCUCAGUGGUGGAUAUACAAAGAUAAAUGGCCAUGCUUCUUCACUUCCUUACAGUAGUUCUCUUUCCUGUGCAUUUGACAGGAUUUAGUGUCCAGUAUUUUCUUGUCUUACACAUGCUCCAUCUGAAGAUUAUCCAAUGACUUUAAGUAACAUAAAGGUUGGAGACUACAUAGAAAUCUCUGUUGCAUCUCCAGCAUCUGGGGUCUUUACUAUAAGGUAGGCUUCAUCUUCACACUAUUGCCCCUCUGGAAUUCCAUGCAAGGAGUCUGACCCUGCCUCACAUUACCUAGCUUUAAUGGCUCUCUGGAAGUGUGGCAUAAGAUUUCAUGACUUUCUCCGUCUUGCAGUUUUUAUGUCUGCCAAAACAGGACCACAUCUGGGAUGGAGCAUGGCUCCUUUGGACCACUGUUGCAGCAACCUCUGUGCUGACUCUGAGGAAACAUUUCUCUAGGCAAUUGCUCUCCAGGAACUGGUGGCAGGAAAGUCUAUUGCUGUAUUUAAUGAGGCAAUUCCAUGUAAUCCAUCUGGUAAUCAAGAGAGGUUUAUUUCUGGAAUAACUUACAGUCAAUAGGGAUUGGUUACAGGAUCCAGAAAAGAUGAGGUACCAUCCAAUGGAGAACUCAGGCUUGGUCUCCCAUCUAGAUUUCAGGACCGAGGUAUCCAGAAGAGCAAGCAUAUUAUUCUGCAGAAACUCAGCACCAAGAAAGACUGAAUGCACACAGAAAUAGCCAAGGUCCUUCAGAGGUAUAGAUUUCUACUCAUAAAUUAAUCUGAGUAAAACAAACAGGGAACAGAAUAUGACAGAGAAAAGCAGAUGGGACAGACAGAAAGACAACCUCUGCCUUUCCAAUCUAUAUGAAAAUUAAAGAGUGAGUCUGGUCAA